CUCCAUUUACCCCCCGUGGCCUCCUGCCCCUAGCCUCCUUACCCCCUCAAUAGGUGGGACAGGAUGGCAAGAGUGGGUUGGAGUUGGAUAUUUCACUUCCCUCAAGUCAGUUAGGCUCUGAUAAACUCCCAGCAGGUUAGGGUCUGGUUAGUUUCUCCUGAAGGCAGGUCUUUGUUAAGACCAGAAUCCUCUACCAUAUUUCACAAUGGUUCCUUUCCCCUUCCCCCUACUGGAAUCAGGAGGAAGUUUUCCUUUAAUAUUCACUGUGAAAAACUGGUAGAUCUUCAGAAGGUAAAACACUAAAGUGUGAAGACCCCUGAUGACCAGGUCCCCUUGGAGUUUUUCUCUCAGACUUGUCCACAGUUAACCUCUAGCAAUUCAUCAAUUAUAGUUCAGGCUUUUCUACCCUGCACUGGUUCCCAUGGAGGUUUUUGCUUAUGGAUUUCUACUCUGAUCUAGCCAUUCGUACACUGAUAACCUAAGAACUGCAUCCAGGAUGCUUUAAGAGGAGUGCCAUCAAGAUUGCCAAGAGGAAUUUUUUUUCCCCACAUAUUUUAAAGUGCUUUACUGCUAUAUAGGUAAAAGAAAAUGGAAGGAAGUUAGAAUAUAAUCUGAGAGCUUUGAAAAGUGUUGCAUUGUACAGAUCCAGAAAAAGUCAAUCAUGUCUUGUAGACUUCUGUCCACGUCUCUAGAACAGUCGACGCAUUAAACAAAAAGUAUUGAAGGUAGCUGGCCUAAAUACACACAGGCAAUAAGAAAAAAAGAUCUCAUCAAAAAUUGGUGGAAGAGGAAAUAAAUAUAAAGGAAAAGUGAGCGUAGAAAAGUUGCUUCCAGUAUACUCAAGUGUUUCCCAAGCCCACAGACAUGGCUGUGCUCUACUGCCCACUCCGUCCUCCUCAGAGAUGUCUUUCCCAGGGCCUCUCUUUCUAGCUCCAAUCUGACCUGGGUCAUCCUCCUGCUCAGCUGUUAUCCCGGGAUUUUGCUUCGCUGCUGUCUUGGGUUGGAGACAUUGUUUCCUGGAUCUCAUGCACUUUUGUUUAUG
rnacentral:lncRNA from 1 species